UACGUAGGGGGCUAGCGUUGUCCGGAAUCAUUGGGCGUAAAGAGCGUGUAGGCGGUCCGGUAAGUCCGCUGUGAAAGUCGGGGGCUCAACCCUCGAAUGCCGGUGGAUACUGUCGGGCUAGAGUGCGGAAGGGGCGAGUGGAAUUCCUGGUGUAGCGGUGAAAUGCGCAGAUAUCAGGAGGAACACCGAUGGCGAAGGCAGGUCACUGGGCCGCAACUGACGCUGAGGAGCGAAAGCAUGGGGAGCGAACAGG
rnacentral:rRNA from 1 species